rnacentral:rRNA from 1 species
AACGAACGCUGGCGGCAUGCCUAACACAUGCAAGUCGAACGAACCCUUCGGGGUUAGUGGCGCACGGGUGCGUAACGCGUGGGAAUCUGCCCAAAGGUUCGGAAUAACACAGAGAAAUUUGUGCUAAUACCGGAUAAUGUCUUUCGGACCAAAGAUUUAUUGCCUUUGGAUGAGCCCGCGUUGGAUUAGCUUGUUGGUGAGGUAACGGCUCACCGAGGCGACGAUCUAUAGCUGGUCUGAGAGGAUGAUCAGCCACACUGGGACUGAGACACGGCCCAGACUCCUACGGGAGGCAGCAGUGGGGAAUAUUGGACAAUGGGCGAAAGCCUGAUCCAGCAAUGCCGCGUGAGUGAUGAAGGCCUUAGGGUUGUAAAGCUCUUUUACCAGGGAUGAUAAUGACAGUACCUGGAGAAUAAGCUCCGGCUAACUCCGUG